UACGGGGGGGGCAAGCGUUGUUCGGAAUUACUGGGCGUAAAGGGCUCGUAGGCGGCCAACUAAGUCAUACGUGAAAUCCCUCAGCUUAACUGGGGAACUGCGUGUGAUACUGGAUGGCUUGGAUUUGGGAGAGGGAUGCGGAAUUCCAGGUGUAGCGGUGAAAUGCGUAGAUAUCUGGAGGAACACCGAUGGCGAAGGCGGGUCUCUGGGCAGUAACUGACGCUGAGGAGCGAAAGCGUGGGGAGCGAACAGG
rnacentral:rRNA from 1 species